ACAGGUUCCUCGCCAGCCAGACCAGGGCUAUUUUAAAAGGCUAGCGCCUGUCCCCAGCCCUUAAGAUAAAGAUAGCCAGUCUGACUGCUCACUGUCUUCUCUGAAAAAGGACCAUUUCCCAAUUAUAGUGCCAGGCUUGGCUAGUAGGGCACUCGCGACUAGUCGGAGCUCCGUUAAGCACACAACCCUUGUACUAAAAGGGGAUCGUGUGUCGCCGGCUCACUUAGAGGAAGGCUCAUUUAAGAAAGAAUGUUUUAUUUUGCGGGGGAUGAAGGAAACGCACAACUCUGGGUUCUGUCGGCACAUUGCUGAACUGCAAGUCACGUGCCAGAUCCAGAAAUGAUGAAAACAUCUGUUUUUGCUUUAGCCCAGCGAGGCCCCGACGGUGGGGAGGGGCAGGGAAGGGACCGAGAUGGCUUUGCUCACGAGCGCCAUCUGCCGAGCCUACGCGGGAAACGCGUGUGUCCCGGGCACAAUGCAGGUUGCUCACCCCCGGGAAGGGACAGAUCAACAGGUGGGGGGGUCUGUGCCCGGGAGACCAUACUCUUCAGAGGACAACUCUGGCUGUGUCCCGGGAACUUUGCAACUCUGAAUUGUCUCAAAAUGUUCUCAACAAAAAGAUCUGUCCCUGGAGACUGCUCUAGGGCAGAGGAAGAGGCCGAGGGAGGCAGCGAAUGAAUUCCCAGGUUGGAAAGAAAAGAGGAGAGAGCAAGAAGCCUACCAAGGAAGGAGGAGCCCUUGCCAGCCAUAAUCUCCAGAGCCCCUGUCUUGAACUUCCAGCCUUCAAGUCUGAGAAACAAUGUGGUUUAAAAACCACCUACUUUGUAGCAUUGGGUUACAACCACCCAGCGACUGGAUUUGUUUGUUUUGCACGCUUAGCUGAAGCAAGGAGCCAGUAUCUGUCUGGAAGCCGGGCAAGAGCUGGUCCAAGUCCAUCAAGCUCCGGAGAAAGGACAUGUGUGAAGAUGAAGUGCCCUAUGGCAGAUGAGUGUGUAGCAGCAGGACCACAAAUUCUCGGGUGGCAAAGGACCAGGGACCAGGCACAAGGCCACAACCUGCUCUCUUGAGCACAGCCACUAUCCUUUGGCCACUUCCACUGUCACACUCCAGCCUUUGCAGACGAGCACGGUCUUCUUUUGAUCUGUUUUGUGCAUAUUGUCUGACUUCUCCAUCUUUCAAACAUUCGUGGGUGUUUCGGGGCUGAAGUCACUUCUCCUUUCCCAUUUUUCUGUUCAUCCUGUAUCAGACUAGUCUCCAUGCCUAUUGCAUCCUGAAAAUCAGGGACACCCGUGACUUCCUCCUCUGUGAGGAAGUGUAUCUCAACCCAGGGCUACAGGGGACUGAAGGAAGACACCCAUGGGUGACACCCAUAGUUGUAGCGGGUGAGAUGCACUGUUUUGUGUAUGUCAUGGUCUGCUGGCAUCCUCACCAUAGCCAGUGGGGUAGACGCUACCCCACCUGUGUUGACAGGGAGGAGACAAUAAUGGGUAACGUGUUAAGAGGCACACUAUCACGGGGCUCCUGAGCCAGGAUUCUUCCCCGGAGCCCAGACCCCAAACCUCACGAUUCCACAAGGGGACCAUGGAGAAGCACAGCAGACACACAGCUGAGCUCACGGCCCUCAUUCCUGAGCUUGCUCAGGUAUUGAACCAAUAGAUCCUCUUUUCUCUGGGCCCUGAGCACCUGUGUCCUCCCCAUUCCCACUCACCCUCUGACCUCUCCAAAGCAGAGUGUCCUAAGGCCUUUUAACUUCAGAAGAAUCUCCCAAAACAUAUGACUUUGAGAUCUCUAUCAUUCUGAAAUCUCUCUCCAGAUGUUGUGCCUGCCCCAUCCCAGUAACUGCAGUGUUAUUUAAACAAGCAAAGAACCAGGACAGCUAAAACAAUCUUAUACAAGAAAAAACUUCCAGAGGUAUUACUAUCCCUGAUUUUAAGCUGUAUUAUGAAGCUGUAGUAAUAAAAACUGCAUGGUAUUGACAUAAAAACACACAGGUUGAUUAAUGGAAUCAAAUCAGAGACACAGACACAAAUUCACACACUUUUGGAUACACCUGAUUUUUUAUUAAAAAAAAAAAGUCAGAAAUAUACAAUGGAAAAAUUAAAGCAUCUUCAACAAA